rnacentral:rRNA from 1 species
GACGAACGCUGGCGGCGUGCCUAAUACAUGCAAGUUGAGCGCUGAAGGUUGGUACUUGUACCAACUGGAUGAGCAGCGAACGGGUGGGUAACGCGUGGGGAAUCUGCCUUUGAGCGGGGGACAACAUUUGGAAACGAAUGCUAAUACCGCAUAAAAACUUUAAACACAAGUUUUAAGUUUGAAAGAUGCAAUUGCAUCACUCAAAGAUGAUCCCGCGUUGUAUUAGCUAGUUGGUGAGGUAAAGGCUCACCAAGGCGAUGAUACAUAGCCGACCUGAGAGGGUGAUCGGCCACAUUGGGACUGGGACACGGCCCAAACUCCUACGGGAGGCAGCAGUAGGGAAUCUUCGGCAAUGGACGAAAGUCUGACCGAGCAACGCCGCGUGAGUGAAGAAGGUUUUCGGAUCGUAAAACUCUGUUGGUAGAGAAGAACGUUGGUGAGAGUGGAAAGCUCAUCAAGUGACGGUAACUACCCAGAAAGGGACGGCUAACUACGUG